rnacentral:rRNA from 1 species
UGCCUGGGAAAUUGCCCUGAUGUGGGGGAUAACCAUUGGAAACGAUGGCUAAUACCGCAUAAUAGCUUCGGCUCAAAGAGGGGGACCUUCGGGCCUCUCGCGUCAGGAUAUGCCCAGGUGGGAUUAGCUAGUUGGUGAGGUAAUGGCUCACCAAGGCGACGAUCCCUAGCUGGUCUGAGAGGAUGAUCAGCCACACUGGAACUGAGACACGGUCCAGACUCCUACGGGAGGCAGCAGUGGGGAAUAUUGCACAAUGGGCGCAAGCCUGAUGCAGCCAUGCCGCGUGUGUGAAGAAGGCCUUCGGGUUGUAAAGCACUUUCAGCAGUGAGGAAGGCGUGUGUGUUAAUAGCACAUUCGUUUGACGUUAGCUGCAGAAGAAGCACCGGCUAACUCCGUGCCAGCAGCCGCGGUAAUACGGAGGGUGCGAGCGUUAAUCGGAAUUACUGGGCGUAAAGCGCAUGCAGGUGGUUUGUUAAGUCAGAUGUGAAAGCCCGGGGCUC